rnacentral:ncRNA from 1 species
AUCGGACCUGUGUUACAGGUGGCUCCACCGGGCGCCUAUCCCUCGGCAACUA